ACCGGAAGCGGAAGUGGUGCCCUUCCCGACUGGCUCUGCCGCUCAGCUGAGUCAGCCGGCCUGCGCACGGGCUCCAGGCUUCGCGGAAGGAACCUACCUAGUCCGGUAGGGUUCAGCCCUUGCGCCCGGAAGAGUUAAUGCUACAGAGUCUCCAGGUUGUGGAGCCUAGAAGGACCCUGCGCGCAGCUCGGCCCGUGGGAGUCGCGGUCUCGCGGCCUGGCUCUGAGGCGGUGAGCGUCGGGGUGGUUCCUAAGUCCGCUCAGGAGGCCUGCGGCCGAGUUACCGGGAGCCCCGCAGGGUAAAGGUCGCCGCCCGCUAGUCUCGCAGGGCCCUCGGCCUUACUGGCCCAGCUGGCCGCACCCGAGCUUUCGUCCCCAGCACAUCACCGCCUCGAGAAGGAAGGCUUUUUGUUCCGUUCAGGAUCAGCGGACCUGAGGUUACCCCGUUUGAGGCUGUGCAUCUCACAAUUGUUUUUUCUUGUGAGUAUGAAAAAGAGAGGGAAAUAUACAGCAUUGAAUUUGGAGGAUAAAAUGAAGAUUCUAAGUAGGAUUGAAGCUGGAUGAUCUCUUAAAAGUGUAAAGGAUGAAUUUGGAAUCAGUAAAUCAACAUUUUUAUGACAUUAAAAA